rnacentral:sRNA from 1 species
GCGGAGGAAAAGAAACCAACAGGGAUUGCCUCAGUAACGGCGAGUGAAGCGGCAACAGCUCAAAUUUGAAAUCUGGCUCUUUCAGAGUCCGAGUUGUAAUUUGUAGAGGGUGCUUUGGCGUUGGCCGUGGUCUAAGUUCCUUGGAACAGGACGUCACAGAGGGUGAGAAUCCCGUACGUGGCCGCCGGUCUUCGCCGUGUAAAGCCCCUUCGACGAGUCGAGUUGUUUGGGAAUGCAGCUCUAAAUGGGAGAUAAAUUUCUUCUAAAGCUAAAUAUUGGCCAGAGACCGAUAGCGCACAAGUAGAGUGAUCGAAAGAUGAAAAGCACUUUGGAAAGAGAGUCAAAAAGCACGUGAAAUUGUUGAAAGGGAAGCGCUUGCAGCCAGACGUGCCCGCAGUUGCUCACCUGGGCUCUCGCCCGGGGCAUUCUUCUGCGGGCAGGCCAGCAUCAGUUCGGGCGGUUGGAUAAAGGCCUCUAUCACGUACCAUCCUUCGGGAUGUCCUUAUAGGGGAGGCGCAACACGACCAGCCUGAACUGAGGACCGCGCAUUUGCUAGGAUGCUGGCGUAAUGGCUGUAAGCGGCCCGUCUUGAAACACGGACCAAGGAGUCUAACAUCUAUGCGAGUGUUUGGGUGUAAAGCCCGGACGCGCAAUGAAAGUGAACGGAGGUGGGAACCCCUCGGGGUGCACCAUCGACCGAUCCUGAAGUCUUCGGAUGGAUUUGAGUAAGAGCAUAGCUGUUGGGACCCGAAAGAUGGUGAACUAUGCCUGAAUAGGGUGAAGCCAGGGGAAACCCUGGUGGAGGCUCGCAGCGGUUCUGACGUGCAAAUCGAUCGUCAAAUUUGGGCAUAGGGGCGAAAGACUAAUCGAACCAUCUAGUAGCUGGUUCCUGCCGAAUUUCCCCU